rnacentral:tRNA from 1 species
GCAUUGGUGGUUCAGUGGUAGCAUUCUCGCCUGCCACGCGGGAGACCCUAGUCCGCUUCCUGGCCAAUGCA